rnacentral:rRNA from 1 species
GGCCGCGGUAUUUUGACCGUGCGAAGGUAGCGCAAUCACUUGUCUUUUAAAUGAAGACCUGUAUGAAUGGCAUCACGAGGGCUUAGCUGUCUCCUCUUCCAAGUCAAUGAAAUUGAUCUGCCCGUGCAGAAGCGGACAUAAAUACAUAAGACGAGAAGACCCUAUGGAGCUUUAGACACCAGGCAGAUCACGUCAAGUAACCUUAAAUUAACAAGUAAAAACACAGUGACCCCUAGCCCCUAUGUCUUUGGUUGGGGCGACCGCGGGGGAAAACGAAGCCCCCAUGUGGACUGAGGGCACUGCCCCCACAACCAAGAGCCACAACUCUAAGCACCAGAAUUUCUGACCAAAAAUGAUCCGGCGAACGCCGAUCAACGGACCGAGUUACCCUAGGGAUAACAGCGCAAUCCUCUCCCAGAGUCCCUAUCGACGAGGGGGUUUACGACCUCGAUGUUGGAUCAGGACAUCCUAAUGGUGCAGCCGCUAUUAAGGGUUCGUUUGUUCAACGAUUAAAGUCCUACGUGAUCUG